rnacentral:rRNA from 1 species
GACGAACGCUGGCGGCGUGCCUAAUACAUGCAAGUAGAACGCAGUUGCGAACGGGUGAGUAACGCGUAGGUAAAUGCCUGGUAGCGGGGGAUAACUAUUGGAAACGAUAGCUAAUACCGCAUACUACCAGAUGGACCUGCGUUGUAUUAGCUAGUUGGUGAGGUAACGGAUCACCAAGGCAACGCUACAUAGCCGACCGGGAGGGGUGUGCGGCCCCACUGGGACUGGGUGACGGCCCAGAGGCCUAAGGUAGGCAGCAGUAGGGAAUCUUCGGCAAUGGGGGGAACCCUGACCGAGCAACGCGGCGUGAGUGAAGAAGGUUUUCGGAUCGUAAAGCUCUGUUGUUAAGGAAGCGGUACUUAACCAGAAAGGGACGGCUAACUACGUGCCAGCCGCCGCGGUAAUAC